rnacentral:rRNA from 1 species
AUGGAGGAGGCGGAGAAGGGGGAGAUCUUCGAGUGGAACACCAAGCCGAGCUCCAUGGAGGAGAUCGAGAAUGGGGACAUCUUCGAGUGGAACACCAAGCCGAGCUCCAUGGAGGAGGCGGAGAAGGGUGAGAUCUUUGAGAGGAACACCAAGCCGAGGCUGGACGACCAUCCGCAGGCAACGGCGGCGAGGGAGGCCAGCCUUUUGAACGUCGACCUCAUCCUGGAGAUCCUUUCCCGCCUCCCAGCCAGAUCCGUCCACUGCUUCAGGUGCGUCUCGGUGCUCUGGCGCGACCUCAUCGCCGACCCCACCAACUGCAAGAAGCUGCCCGAGACCCUUGCCGACUUCCUCUACACGUCCUUCUGCAGCAGCGGGUAUCGCCACCACUUUGCUGGCUUCUCCGGCGGCGCAGCCCCCUUCGACCCUUCCCUCCCUUACCUGCAUCCUAACAAGGAUGAGGGCAUCACCCAGGUGGAAGCCUGCAACGGCCUCCUUCUCUAUCGCCGCUACAACAGUAGGGAUGAUUACCAUUUUGUUGUGUGCAAUCCCGCCACCGGGAGGUGGGUGGAGCUGCCACCUCAACCUCAAACGCAGGAGCCGAUGCACAAAUUUAACCAUACCGCAGGCUUGGCUUUCGAUCCAGUAGUCUCAUCCCAUUUCCAUGUUCUUUGUUUGGAGCGGGCCUUUCCGAAAACUUUCAUCACAGGAGUGAACAUCUACUCGUCGCGUACAGGAGCCUGGAGUUAUAGAGACAGUGGGAUAGUUGAGAAAGCUACCCUGUUCAGGAGUAAAUGUGUCUUUGUGGGCGGUAUGCUAUACAUCAUGGGUAACCUGGAGGACAUCAACGGCGAGUAUGUGCUGGUGGGGGUAGACAUGGAGGGGAAAGUGUGGAAGACUAUCCGUGUGCCGUACGGUUCAAAAUUUGGUACUAUUGGAUUGUUGCAGGGGUGCUUGCACUAUGUUAUAGCUCCUGUCAAUAAUAACAAUGAACUCCUAGUUUCUGAGAUAGCACUCUGGUGCCUCAAGGAUUGUGACAGUAAACAAUGGGUCCAGAAGCAUACUGCCAGCAUCGAUGAGCUUAUGAGCAUGACUGGACAGAAGUACAGGGUGGUUGGGAUUCAUCCAGAUUGCGACACCAUUUUCCUGGCUCAUUGUGGAGGUAAUACCUUGGUAUCAUAUGACAUGUGGCAUCAGAAAGUUGGUUGUAUCCUUGAUCUUGAGAAAAACAGUGUACACAAAUUUCUACCCUAUGUUCCUCUGUUCUCAAACCACCGCUGUGUUUCCUCCCAAAAACUGGCUCUUCUUUUGUCUGAACAAUUUGUCUGUGUACCUCUGAAUCUGCUUCAAUCAUGGCCCCCCAAUUUGCUGGUGCUUAUACUCCUGGUUGCUUGA